AGUGAGGAAUAUUGCACAAUGGGCGAAAGCCUGAUGCAGCGACGCCGCGUGGGUGAAGAAGGUUUUCGGAUCGUAAAACCCUUUUCUGUGUGACGAGAGAGGACGGUAGCACAGGAAUAAGUCUCGGCUAACUACGUGCCAGCAGCCGCGGUAAAACGUAGGAGACAAACGUUAUCCGGAGUUACUGGGCGUAAAGGGCGUGCAGGCGGCAGCCUAAGUCUGGCGUGAAAUAUCCCGGCUUAACCGGGAGAGGUCGUCGGAUACUGGGCAGCUAGAGGGCGGUAGAGGCGUGUGGAAUUCCGGGUGUAGUGGUGAAAUGCGUAGAGAUCCGGAGGAACACCAGUGGCGAAGGCGACACGCUGGGCCGCACCUGACGCUAAGACGCGACAGCAUGGGGAGCGAA
rnacentral:rRNA from 1 species